CUAAGCUAGAAGGCCACUUAUAGAAAAUCAGAAAUCAUUUCUCCUCUGAAAUUUUACUUUCAUCCAAUUCAAACCAACAUAAAAAAGUAAAAAUAUAAAAAAUAACACACCAUAGCUACUACAUAAAGAACCAUCCGAAACCUUGCUCAAAACCCUUCCAAAAUAGUACACACAAAAAACACCUCAAACAUACUUCCAACUUCAAGUAUAACAUAUUUUCCAUCAACAUCUAGGCUUGCCAUGGCCUAAAAUGACUCAACCCAAAAGAGGGGUGGAUAACAUGCCUUAUAAAAAAAACUAAAACUCGAAUCCAAAUGCAUAUUGUCUCACAAAAACCCUUAAUGCGACAACAACACGAUAUAAACACUUUCCGCUACUUUUAUAGGGUUUGUGAUGUUAGAGUUUGGUGGUUUACUUAGAAAUCACUAUUAAACCCUUGAGAGCUCUCAGUAACAUUUGGAGAGAUUUAUGGUUUGCCC
rnacentral:lncRNA from 1 species